UUUGUCAUGAUCAACACACCCUAUAACCACAAGGCUACACUACCACCCCUGAACAGGAGACGAGUGAGAUUUUACUCCAAAAUAAGGUACAACCAACCACUGGCUGAAAUCUCUGAACAUUAGCGGUACUGCGGAUCUAUUCUGCCCUGAAUCCCUACAGUAAGGCAAUCAUGGGGUACUGGGACCUAUUCUGCCCUGGAAUCUCUACAGAGACAAGCAUGCGGGGACCUACUCUACCCUGGAAUCUCUACAGAGACAAGCAUGUGGGGACCUACUCUGCCCUGGAAUCUCUACAGAGACAAGCAUG